UCCUCUAUGCAUACUACUGUUCGAUGCCUCUGCAUUAACUAUUCUAUUAAAUGUUGGAAGUUUUUGAUUAUAUUGAAGUCAUUGUAGAUGAAUCCGAGCGCUCGUUCUUGUAGUUUUUUUUUUUGUAUUUUUCCGCCGUAGCUACGGCCCAGGGCAUUUUGUGUUACCACCACCCGUCCGGCCGUCCGUCCUAGUUAUUUCUUUUUCGUUUCCUAUUUUUCUAUUCUCAUUUGCCUACAAUGUCACCGUGUUAGCGUGUUACUCAAGGAUAAU
rnacentral:lncRNA from 1 species